rnacentral:rRNA from 1 species
UUUGACCUCAAAUCAGGUAGGACUACCCGCUGAACUUAAGCAUAUCAAUAAGCGGAGGAAAAGAAACUAACAAGGAUUCCCCUAGUAACUGCGAGUGAAGCGGGAAAAGCUCAAAUUUGAAAUCUGGCAGUCUUUUUUUUCUUCUUUGGCUGUCCGAGUUGUAAUCUAGAGAAGUGCUUACCUGCACUGGACCAUGUAUAAGUCUCCUGGAAUGGAGCGUCACAGAGGGUGAGAAUCCCGUCUUUGACAUGGACUGCCAGUGUGUUGUGGUGUGCUCUCAAAGAGUCGAGUUGUUUGGGAAUGCAGCUCUAAAUGGGUGGUAAACUCCAUCUAAAGCUAAAUAUUGGCGAGAGACCGAUAGUGAACAAGUACCGUGAGGGAAAGAUGAAAAGGACUUUGGAAAGAGAGUUAAACAGUAUGUGAAAUUGUUGAAAGGGAAACGCUUGAAGUCAGUUAUGUUGGCUAGGGAUCAACCUAGCUGUUUUUUGCUGGGUGAAUUUCCUAGUCUUGACAGGCCAACAUCAGUCUUGACUGCUGGAAAAGAGCAGGGGGAAUGUGGCACCUUUGGGUGUGUUAUAGCCCUUUGUCAUAUGUGGCAGUUGGGACUGAGGGAUGCAGCAUGCCGCGAGGCUGGGUUUCUGACCACGUUCAUGCUUAGGAUGUUGGCUUUUAAUGGCUUCAAUCGACCCGUCUUGAAACACGGACCAAGGAGUCUAACAUGCCUGCGAGUGUUUGGGUGGGGAAAACCCUUGUGCACAAUGAAAGUGAAAGUUGAGAUCCCUGUCAUGGGGAGCAUCGACGCCCGGACCUGAGCUUUUAGCGACGGAUCCGCGGUAGAGCAUGCAUGUUGGGACCCGAAAGAUGGUGAACUAUGCCUGAAUAGGGCAAAGCCAGAGGAAACUCUGGUGGAGGCUCGUAGCGAUUCUGACGUGCAAAUCGAUCGUCAAAUUUGGGUAUAGGGGCGAAAGA